rnacentral:rRNA from 1 species
GAUCGACGCCGCGUGUGCGAUGAAGGCCUUCGGGUUGUAAAGCACUGUCGAGAGGGAACAAGCCGCAAGGUUGAGUGACCUCUGCGAGGAAGGACGGGCUAAGUUCGUGCCAGCAGCCGCGGUAAGACGAACCGUCCAAACGUUAUUCGGAAUCACUGGGCUUAAAGGGCGCGUAGGCGGGCGAUCAAGUCAGGGGUGAAAUCCUCCAGCUCAACUGGAGAAGUGCCUUUGAUACUGGUUGUCUAGAGUGAGGUAGGGGCAUGUGGAACUUCCAGUGGAGCGGUGAAAUGCGUAGAUAUUGGAAGGAACACCAGUGGCGAAAGCGAUGUGCUGGAUCUCAACUGACGCUGAGGCGCGAAAGCUAGGGGAUCAAACGGGAUUAGAUACCCCGGUAGUCCUAGCCCUAAACUUUGGGUACUAGAUUGUGGACUAACAUGGGUUCACAGUCGAAGCAAAAGUGUUAAGUACCCCGCCUGGGGAGUAUGGUCGCAAGGCUGAAACUCAAAGGAAUUGACGGGGGCUCACACAAGCGGUGGAGCAUGUGGCUUAAUUCGAGGCUACGCGAAGAAGCUUAUCCUGGAUUUGACAUGUUCGAAAGAGUUAGGAAGUU